GUUAGAAUAAUCGAGCGGUUCAAGGCGCUGCGUUCAGGUCCCAGCUCACUCUGAGGGUGUGGUUUCGAAUCCCACUUCUGACA
rnacentral:tRNA from 1 species